CCCAAAGCCCUGCCUACCUGCACAUGAGGCCUUUCCAAGACACUUUGAUGUAACCCAUAACAGUGCUGGAUUUGGCAAAAUCAAAGCAGAUGCUGGAUGACACCAGGUUCCAAAGUCUUGAGGAACACGGCUCCAACAUUUAAAGUUCUACAUUUGGACUCUUCAAGCCAAUGUCUGAGAGUUCUGUUGAUGCUUUGGUAAUGUCUCCGCUGAACCAGCCAUGCUGAGCCUUGCUCACUUGCCCUGCGCCAGGCCAGUACUGCACCUAGGAGUCCGUUUCCAUGGUGACUCACAUAGAGGAUUGGAGUGAUUCAAG
rnacentral:lncRNA from 1 species